GAGGGUGUAGCUCCAAUGGUAGAGCGCAUACCUACCACGCACGAGGUCCUGGGUUCAAUCCCCAGUACCUCCG
rfam:Camelus ferus unplaced genomic scaffold scaffold265, whole genome shotgun sequence.